GGCAAGAUGGCCGAGUGGUCUAAGGCGCUGUGUGUCAGUAUUUACCGAAUACCCUUCGCAUCAAACAUGUUUCUAACUUCCUACCAGUCAGGAGAAUAUUCUUCGCAGUUCGAAAGAGCGUGGGUUCGAAUCCCACUCUUGUCA